rnacentral:rRNA from 1 species
UACGAAGGGGGCUAGCGUUGCUCGGAAUCACUGGGCGUAAAGGGUGCGUAGGCGGGUUUUUAAGUCAGAGGUGAAAUCCUGGAGCUCAACUCCAGAACUGCCUUUGAUACUGAAAGUCUUGAGUAUGGGAGAGGUGAGUGGAACUGCGAGUGUAGAGGUGAAAUUCGUAGGUAUUCGCAAGAACACCAGUGGCGAAGGCGGCUCACUGGCCCAUUACUGACGCUGAGGCACGAAAGCGUGGGGAGCAAACAGG